GCCCUCGUAGCUCAGGGGAUAGAGCAUCGGUUUCCGGAACCGUGUGCGGGAGUUCGAAUCUCUCCGAGGGCGCCA
rnacentral:tRNA from 1 species